ACCCUCAGCCCAAAACUUAAUUAAGAAUUAAGAAGUUGUUUGAUUAGGUUCUAGGAUUGUGAAUUGAAGAACCUAAGACACAAACCAUAACACAUUGGGUUAAUGGGUUAGUGGGAAUUAGGUUCAUUAAUUGGGUUAGACCUAUGGUUAGAUUAAAGAUGGACUUAAUUAGAGAAUUGACUAAAUCUAAUCAAUUGUUGUCUUAGAUUAGGUCAAGGAUUCUCUAGAUCAAUUACAAUAGUUGUAGUUGGUCAAGUCAAUGUCUUUAACGAGAACCAAAUGGACUUAAUUCUUGGCUAAGCGGUCUAGCACGAACUGUUAGGUUGAUCUAAUCGAAACUAAUUAAACCAGUUGGUGUCUAAGGUAAACCAGACCGAUGAUUUUUAAUUGGGAGCUCGCUUACCUGGCCAUUUCUGAUGGUGUCUAAGGCAAGCUUUGGUAGACCCUCCCAU
rnacentral:lncRNA from 1 species